AUGACCAGACUCACAAUGCCAGCCGAGGCUGCUGCCCAAAUUGUUACGCUGAUUGCGAAGACGCUAGAUGUUGUCCCUCUACUCCUGGACACUGUAGACCGCUGUUUGUGUGUACUGGGGUGGGCAGCGGCGGCGCACUCUUGGCUUUCUUUUUCUUUCCACGGUCGUUCCAACUCAGUUCACUUUCCCCGCACCUUGGCCCUUGGGUUCCAGCUCGCCUCUACCAGCCACCGCCGGAACUCCGCGUCUCGCCGCCGUCAGUUCCCGUCGCGCUUGGUUGUGAGGUUUGCUUCCCUCUCCCUCUCCCCGUCGUCUUCUUCUUCUUCUUCUUCUUCUUCUUCUUCUUCUUCUUCUUCUGGUCUUCGAUCCAAGGAGGAGCACAUCUCAACUCUAAACGAACUAACUGUUCGCAGCCGCAGCAGCAGGCCGGAUACAGGAUGGGGAACAAGGAGGAGAAGCAGGAGCAGGAGAAUCAGGAGGAGGAGGAGGAGGAGGAGGAGGAGGAGGAGGAGCAGGAGCAGGAGGAUCAGGAUUCAGGAGGAUGAGGAGGAGCAGCAGGCGAUAGAUGGCCUCCCCAACGACCUCCUUCGAGAGAUCCUGUCGCGGGUGCCGUACCAGUCGCUAUGCCGCUCAAAGUGCGUGUCCACAGCAUGGUUCAUUCUCUGCUUCGACCCCGCCGUCCUCAGGAGGUCGCCCCAGACGCUCUCCGGCUUCUUCGGCCUCUCCGGCAGCGGCAACGACCGCUUCAUCAACCUGUCCGGGAGAGGCCGGCCGCUGGUCGACCCCUCUCUCGGUUUCUUGCGCGACCACGAGUACGUCACUCUCCUAAACUGCUGCGCCGGCAUUUUCCUCUGCCAAGGCUGGAAUCAGGCCACCGAACGCUCGGAAUACGUUGUGUGCAACCCUGCCACCGAGGAGAUUUGGGCUGCGGUGAGUGUGCCUCACACGCAAGAGAAGGGAGCUCCGCGACACUACACCUUCUGCUUGUGUUUCGACCCCGCCGUACCCCGCCGUUUUGCGAUAUUCAUCUUCAUCCGUGGUUCCUACGACAUAAGGAUGGUAGAGUGGAGAGUGGACCUUAAAGCACACUGCCAGCAUUUUGGAGCUGCUAGAAAGGCCUUGUCUAGAGCACACCAUACAUUCCCUGUUUUGCGGAACGGCCAUCUGAUGCUCAGUAAAUUUUGGAGGGGCUUCGUAUUUGCCAAGUUGGCAUGGCUCCGGUGCGGUCAGGAAACUCAGCUGUUGGGUUGUGUCAUACCUUCUAGUUUCCAGCCAUGGAUUACAUAA
rnacentral:rRNA from 1 species